rnacentral:rRNA from 1 species
CGCCCUUAGAGUUUGAUCCUGGCUCAGGAUGAACGCUAGCUACAGGCUUAACACAUGCAAGUCGAGGGGAAACGAUAUUGGAAGCUUGCUUCCGAUAGGCGUCGACCGGCGCACGGGUGAGUAACGCGUAUCCAACCUGCCCACCACUUGGGGAUAACCUUGCGAAAGUAAGACUAAUACCCAAUGAUAUCUCAAGAAGACAUCUGAAUGAGAUUAAAGAUUUAUCGGUGAUGGAUGGGGAUGCGUCUGAUUAGCUUGUUGGCGGGGUAACGGCCCACCAAGGCGACGAUCAGUAGGGGUUCUGAGAGGAAGGUCCCCCACAUUGGAACUGAGACACGGUCCAAACUCCUACGGGAGGCAGCAGUGAGGAAUAUUGGUCAAUGGGCGAGAGCCUGAACCAGCCAAGUAGCGUGCAGGAUGACGGCCCUAUGGGUUGUAAACUGCUUUUAUAAGGGAAUAAAGUGAGUCUCGUGAGGCUUUUUGCAUGUACCUUAUGAAUAAGGACCGGCUAAUUCCGUGCCAGCAGCCGCGGUAAUACGGAAGGUCCGGGCGUUAUCCGGAUUUAUUGGGUUUAAAGGGAGCGUAGGCCGGAGAUUAAGCGUGUUGUGAAAUGUAGAUGCUCAACAUCUGCACUGCAGCGCGAACUGGUUUCCUUGAGUACGCACAAAGUGGGCGGAAUUCGUGGUGUAGCGGUGAAAUGCUUAGAUAUCACGAAGAACUCCGAUUGCGAAGGCAGCUCACUGGAGCGCAACUGACGCUGAAGCUCGAAAGUGCGGGUAUCGAACAGGAUUAGAUACCCUGGUAGUCCGCACGGUAAACGAUGGAUGCCCGCUGUUGGUCUGAAUAGGUCAGCGGCCAAGCGAAAGCAUUAAGCAUCCCACCUGGGGAGUACGCCGGCAACGGUGAAAC